rnacentral:rRNA from 1 species
UAAAGAUUCAUCGCUGAUAGAUAGGCAUGCGUUCCAUUAGGCAGUUGGCGGGGUAACGGCCCACCAAACCGACGAUGGAUAGGGGUUCUGAGAGGAAGGUCCCCCACAUUGGUACUGAGACACGGACCAAACUCCUACGGGAGGCAGCAGUGAGGAAUAUUGGUCAAUGGGCGUAAGCCUGAACCAGCCAAGUCGCGUGAGGGAUGAAGGUUCUAUGGAUCGUAAACCUCUUUUAUAAGGGAAUAAAGUGCGGGACGUGUCCCGUUUUGUAUGUACCUUAUGAAUAAGGAUCGGCUAACUCCGUGCCAGCAGCCGCGGUAAUACGGAGGAUCCGAGCGUUAUCCGGAUUUAUUGGGUUUAAAGGGUGCGUAGGCGGCCUUUUAAGUCAGCGGUGAAAGUUUGUGGCUCAACCAUAGAAUUGCCGUUGAAACUGGGAGGCUUGAGUAUGUUUGAGGCAGGCGGAAUGCGUGGUGUAGCGGUGAAAUGCUUAGAUAUCACGCAGAACCCCGAUUGCGAAGGCAGCCUGCCAAGCCAUGACUGACGCUGAUGCACGAAAGCGUGGGGAUCAAACAGGAUUAGAUACCCUGGUAGUCCACGCAGUAAACGAUGA